UACGGAGGGUGCGAGCGUUGUCCGGAGUUAUUGGGCGUAAAGCGCGCGCAGGCGGCUUGGCGCGCCCGACGUGAAAGCCCCCGGCUUAACCGGGGAGAGUCGUCGGGGACGGCCGGGCUUGAGGGCGGGAGAGGGUGGUGGAAUUCCCGGUGUAGUGGUGAAAUGCGUAGAGAUCGGGAGGAACACCUGUGGCGAAGGCGGCCACCUGGGCCGACCCUGACGCUGAGGCGCGAAGGCGUGGGGAGCGAACGGG
rnacentral:rRNA from 1 species